UGGAUGCUGAACCUGCUUUGAUUUGAGUCA
rnacentral:piRNA from 1 species